rnacentral:lncRNA from 1 species
AACAUUAUCAACCUAUACAACUAAACACAACAUUAUCAACCUGCUACAACAUUAUCAACCUAUACAACUAAACACAACAUUACCAACCUGCUAAAACUCAACACAACAUUACCAACCUGCUACAACUAAAUACAACAUUAUCAACCUGCUACAACAUUAUCAACCUGUACAACUAAACACAACAUUAUCGACCUGCUACAACUAAACACAACAUUAUCGACCUGCUACAACUAAACACAACAUUACAACCUGCUACAACUAAACACAACAUUAUCGACCUGCUACAACUAAACACAACAUUAUCGACCUGCUACACAGAGAGGAACCAAGCAUAAAUGUCUUUUUCCAUUGAUUGAAAAUAGCUGUCACUGCAGGGGGAUGUUUGUAGCCAUCUUUUCAUUUUAUUUUCUCCUUCAUGUGGGAACAUCUAUAAUAUUAGACCCAUCUCUUUAUUCUCUUGAAUGACCUGUACAGACCAGGGUCUGUACCGACCCCGAGCUGGACUGAGGAGGUUUUAUACAGACCAGGGUCUGUACCGACCCCGAGCUGGACUGAGGAGGUUUUAUACAGACCAGGGUCUGUACCGACCCAGAGCUGGACUGAGGAGGUUUUAUACAGACCAGGGUCUGUGAUCAACCAAGAUGGACUGAGGAGGUUUUAUACAGACCAGGGUCUGUACCGAGCUGGACUGAGGAGGUUUUAUACAGACCAGGAUCUGUACCGACCCAGAACUGGACUGAGGAGGUUUUAUACAGACCAGGGUCUGUAUCGACCCAGAGCUGGACUGAGGAGGUUUUAUACAGACCAGGGUCUGUACCGACCCAGAACUGGACUGAGGAGGUUUUAUACAGACCAGGGUCUGUACCGACCCAGAGCUGGACUGAGGAGGUUUUAUACAGACCAGGGUCUGUACCGACCCAGAGCUGGACUGAGGAGGUUUUAUACAGACCAGGGUCUGUACCGAGCUGGACUGAGGAGGUUUUAUACAGACCAGGGUCUGUAUCAACCCCGAGCUGGACUGAGGAGGUUUUAUACAGACCAGGGUCUGUACCGACCCAGAGCUGGACUGAGGAGGUUUUAUACAGACCAGGGUCUGUAUCGACCCCGAGCUGGACUGAGGAGGUUUUAUACAGACCAGGGUCUGUACCGAGCUGGACUGAGGGGUUUUAUACAGACCAGGGUCUGUACCGAGCUGGACUGAGGAGGUUUUAUACAGACCAGGGUCUGUACCGACCCAGAGCUGGACUGAGGAGGUUUUAUACCUGGUCUGUGUUCAACCAAGAUGGAAGAGGAACGACUCAAACAUCCGAAUCUUAGUGCCAAGGUUACCGUGGAAACAGAGGAGGGGAACUGAUUUGUCUAAGUA